CCUUCCUUUUUGUGGUCAUAAACCUUGUGUUAAAAUUUCAUAGAUUUCCAUUCACUUUUACUAAAGUUAGAGUGCGAAAACUAAAAGUAUUCGGACGCAGGACGACGACGACGACGACGACGACGACGACGACGACGACGCCGACGCCAACGUGAUAGCAAUAUACGACGAAAAAUUUUUCAAAUUUUGCGGUCGUAUAAAAAUGAUGUCCCAUCAUAUCUUACUAACAAGUUUCAUUAUGUUUCAGACAGAAAUCCAUACCCCUUAAGAAAUGCUGUUCAAGGAAACCUCAUACUCCCUAAACCAAAAACAGAAUUGUUCAAAAAAUCUUUUAUGUAUUCUGGACCAUUCUUGUGGAAUAAUUUGCCAAUACCGU
rnacentral:lncRNA from 1 species